GAUGAACGCUGGCGGCGUGCCUAAUACAUGCCAGUCGAGCGAACAGACGAGGAGCUUGCUCCUCUGACGUUAGCGGCGGACGGGUGAGUAACACGUGGAUCACCUACCUAUAAGACUGGGAUAACUUCGGGAAACCGGAGCUAAUACCGGAUAAUAUAUUGAACCGCAUGGUUCAAUAGUGAAAGACGGUUUUGCUGUCACUUAUAGAUGGAUCCGCGCCGCAUUAGCUAGUUGGUAAGGUAACGGCUUAACAAGGCAACGAUGCGUAGCAGACCUGAGAGGGAGAACGGCCACACGGGAACUAAGCCACGGUCCAGACUCCUACGGGAGGCAGCAGUAGGGUAACUUCCGCAAUGGGCGAAAGCCUGACGUAGCAACACCGCGUGAGUGAGGAAAGUAUUCGGAUCGUAAAACUCUGUUAUUAGAGAAGAACAAAUGUGUAAGUAACUAUGCACGUCGUGACGGUACCUAAUCAGAAAGCCACGGCUAACUACGUG
rnacentral:rRNA from 1 species